AGGCGGGGCCGCGGCGCCCCCUCCGCCUGCCCCCCACCGCCAGCCCGCGCCGCGCCGCGCCGCGCCGGGGGGGAGGAGGAGGAGCGAGGGGCGCCCACCAAGUGCCCGCGCCCAGCGCCGGGGGUCCCUCAGGCUCAGCCCCGUCUGCCUGCCCCAGCGCCUUCGCUCCCCCCAGGGUGUGAACUGAGGGGGCUGAGUUCCCCGUAAGAGACGAGAGCCCCCCCUACAGCCUCCCGGGAGUCAAAGUGUAACUUGAGCACUGCUCCCCUCACAGCUUGGCCUCUCCGGUCAGCCCCGGACCUAGACAGCUUGCAAACUUCUAGUAUCAGCCCGUGUUUGCCAGAGGAGAGAGGGUGUUGGAUCUCAGGUUCCAGAAUUGCUUCCCUGUUGCUGUGCAGUGAGUGAGUGGAAUGGUCUACACAGAUGGGAGGUCUGGACAUUACUCAGACUGUUGGCAUUGUUGCAUCAUGCAUAGCCCCUUGCCAAAACAAACAAGGCUGCAAAGCUCAGAAGAGUAAAUGAAAUCUCCUCUCUCUACCUCCUCAAUGAUCUCCUCCCCAAGGCCCAGUUUGGGAAUACUUAUGUGAGUAAAUGUGUAGGCUUGGUCCUAAACUGUUUUUAUUUGCAGCAUUCUUGCUAUGUAUUUUGUAAUCAUGUGAGCAAAAGUGGCUUCAUUUAAAAAAAAGAAAAGAAAAGCCUGUACAUUAACUCACAAUAUGUUGGAAACACUACUGAUGUUAAAGGAAAAUCUGUUCAGUGCCUUAAGGAUUGCAAAUUAAGCACCCAAUCUUGCUUUCACUUAAGGCUAUGGCAUUGCUUUCACUGUAAGUAGAAAAUAGGCCCUAUACGUAGUCUAUAGAUGCUUAAAAUAACAUUACAUGAUACUCUGCAAGCACCCCAAACGCAUUUGUUAAAAAUCAACUUUAUAAAGAAGAGUUUAAGAUGUUUACCCUUAGUGAACAAGAUUAGUGUGCCCAUAGUCACUUUUAUGAAAGAACUAAACAUAAAAAAUUCCAUAAAUCAUCUUUUGUAAGGAAAAAAUGGGGAAAAAAUCUACAUAGAAGAAAAGGUUUUGUUUCAAUUACUAACAGAACCCAAUUAUGAAAAUAAAAAACAAGUGAGGAGACCUUUGUAAACUUAUAAAGAUGUGAAGAUAUCAAUGUGAAAAACAACAGUUUUAAGUCCAGAAUGACAGACUUAUUAGAAACUUAUUCAAAAGCUAUAUCACAAAAUGUUUGAAAAUAAUAACCUUUGAAAAAAAAUCCACUAAUUACAUUUUCUGGCAGCAGUCCAGGAUUUUAAAAAAAUAAUCUGAAAUUAACAAACCCUGCAAUUAUGUUUGUAGACAAUGGCCUUUUAUGUCUUUUUAAAUUGGAAGACAAAGAUAUUUUAACUCCAAAAAAUCCAUUAAAAUAACAUUAACAUGUAUAAUUAAAAUGGAUUCAUUCAGGUCCCAUUGAAGUUAAUAAGUAUUCUUUCUUUUGCAAAGCAUUUUCAGUACAUCACUUGAUAAGUGAACAUAAGCUUACAGACCAAAUUCUGUUCACUAUUCACAUGAGUAAUCCUAUUGCUAGGAGUCCUACUGAAGUCAGUGGAACUAUUUUCCUUUAAGGCAGGUUUUGAAUCUUAAACUCUGGUAACUCAGUGCCAGCAGACCUCAGUGGAGUCCCAUGUGUGUUCAUGGGUCCACUUGAAUGGAGUCAGUUUGCUAAAUGAGUUUUUAAAUUUGAAUAAAACCUCAAUGUGAUUUGCAUUUUUCCACUCCUAAGUAUUUCAGUCUAAACAUCAAAAUAUGCAAAAAUAAAAAAGAGACUGCUUGAUCUGUAUGAUUUGACCCUUUUUAAAGAAUCAAGCUGCCUACAUUUGGAGAGUGAGUAAUAAUGAAAAAUUUUAAAUAAGUUCUAGUUCAUAUUCUAUUGAUUUCAGUAGCAAAACUCACAGGUCAAAAUUUUCACGUGGGAUCACUAAGUUAGAGUGCCUUGCCUGUGAUGCCUUGUGCAUGAAUUUUAAAUGUGCUGAUCAUCCUUAAUUCUUAUUAUAAAUUAAGUUAAAAAAAUAAUAUUCAAAAGUAAAGACCCGAUCUUCUACAGAACAGUUGCCAUUGAUACCAAUAAGGACAAGCUGGGACCUUAAACUAUUUUACUUAUCCAGGGUCCAAACCUCCACGUAUAGCAGUGGCAGUCAACAGAAGCAGCAGCUUCAAAUAUUAAAAAGCAGGAAUCUUAUAUAUUUAUUAGAACUGCAAACGUAGAAAACAUCUACAUAUCAUUCCUUUGAUUUAUUUGUCACAAUAUUCCAGGGCAAUAAAUGUGUUUCAUUUAUUUCAAUAACCUCUAAAAUGAAACAAGAAAUGCUUUUUUCUUCAUUUCAUCAAUCAAAACUGAGAAAUAGCUUAUAGAGGUUCAAAGUGUAUCUUUUAUAGUUUUUGUUUUAAAAAAUGUGCAUCAACCCAAAUGUAUAUGCUAAUAAAUCAUAAUCUUUAAUUUAUCUACACCAAAUUAAUAUCUCUUCUUAUGGUACACUGAAAAGCUACAGACAUACAAUUUAUGUAUAACAAGUCAUUAUAUUACACUGAUUGUUUACUGAAAAUGAUAAAAAGACAAAAUUAC